GGCUCAGGACGAACGCUGGCGGCGUGCCUAACACAUGCAAGUCAAGGGGUAGCAAUACCACUGGCGCACGGGUGAGUAACGCGUAGGUAAUCUGCCCUUUCCCAAGACAUAACAUCGAGAAAUCGGUGCUAAUAUCUUAUACGGCCUCCGGGUCAAAGUUUCGACGGGUAAGGAUGAGCCUGCGUCUGAUUAGCUUGUUGGUAAGGUAAUGGCUUACCAAGGCGACGAUCAGUAACUGGUCUGAGAGGAUGAUCAGUCACACUGGAACUGAGACACGGUCCAGACUCCUACGGGAGGCAGCAGUGAGGAAUAUUGGUCAAUGGGGGAAACCCUGAACCAGCGACGCCGCGUGUAGGAUGAAGGAGCUUUGCUCUGUAAACUACUGUCGGAUGGGAAAAAAAGAAUCCUUUGGGUUCUGGGAUUGUACCAUCAAAGGAAGGAUCGGCUAACUACGUGCCAGCAGCCGCGGUAAUACGUAGGAUCCAAGCGUUGUCCGGAUUUACUGGGUGUAAAGGGUGCGCAGGCGGACUUGUGCGUCAGAGGUUAAAGACCACGGCUUAACUGUGGAGGUGCCUUUGAUACGGCAAGUCUUGAGUGUGAGAGAGGAUAGUAGAAUUCCUGGUGUAGCGGUGAAAUGCGUAGAUAUCAGGAGGAAUACCCGUGGCGAAGGCGGCUAUCUGGCUCAUUACUGACGCUCAGGCACGAAAGCGUGGGGAUCAAACAGGAUUAGAUACCCUGGUAGUCCACGCCCUAAACGAUGUAUGCUUGGUGUUGGGAACCUAGUUCUCAGUGCCGAAGGUAACCCGUUAAGCAUACCACCUGGGGAGUACGGUCGUCAAGGCUGAAACUUAAA
rnacentral:rRNA from 1 species